UACAGAGGGGGCAAGCGUUAUUCGGAAUUACUGGGCGUAAAGAGCUCGUAGGUGGUUUGUCGCGUUGUCCGUGAAAACUCACAACUCAAUUGUGGGCGUGCGGGCGAUACGGGCAGACUGGAGUACUGCAGGGGAGACUGGAAUUCCUGGUGUAGCGGUGGAAUGCGCAGAUAUCAGGAGGAACACCGGUGGCGAAGGCGGGUCUCUGGGCAGUAACUGACGCUGAGGAGCGAAAGCGUGGGGAGCGAACAGG
rnacentral:rRNA from 1 species